CUGCGGCAGGGACCCUGGGGCCUCGUCACCAGCAGGAGCCCAGUGCUUUCUCUGGGUGCGGCGCUCUCCCUUCUGUGCAGUGAGGCCUGCAGCUGGCCAGAGCUUGCGACCCGCACGCCUGGGGGCUCCCCUCCCAGCCCACCACCCAGACUCCGGUGACGGCAGACAGAGCAGGGCUGGCCUCAGGGCUCCAGAGAUGGAGAGGAAGCCAGGCACCACGUCGCCCUGAGUUGCGACAGGUGCAGUGAGUACCUGCCUGGAGAGGACGGUGGGGGAACACAUCGCGGAAGGACCAGGCCCCCUCCCGGCACUGGGACCCUCUGUUUCUCCCUGGAAAGGAUGAGCGAGCCACGUGGCAGAGCCCAGUGGUCUCAAGCGAGCCAGCAAGGUUGCCUUCUACAACCAGGGACGGAGAGGUGCGUUUAUGGGGUACCAACCACACAUGCCGAGCGCCUGCUCUGUGCGGGGUGCCAAGAGAGAAAGAAGACUUUCCAUACCCCCCACAGUAUGCCCAGCGACCCUGCGGGGCUACAGUUACAGCCCACGUCCCCCUGCGGCAGAGCCGAAAUGAAGCCCACCUGCCCGACCUCAGACUCCCUGCGGCACUGACCUUUCUUAGUGACGCACAAACCCAAGCCCAGAGGAUCUGAGGUAGCACGGAGCUAGUUGGAAAUGGAGUCGGGACUGAAAUCCAAGUCACCCUGACUCACUGCAAAGUGGUCAUUCCUUUCCACCAUAGAGGACCGCUUGGAAGGGGGACCGCAGCUCCUGAGAGCCUAAUUCACGCCCAGAAGUGACCUCGACUCUCGCCUGGCACACAGGAGGCAUUUGU